UUCUGAAUGUUUAGUCAGAAUCUCCUUUCCUGCGACUUGAAGCCAUUGGUCCAAAGCAGGAGAAAACAAGCAUUCUCCCUCCUUCAUGUGACAGCCUUUAAUAUAUUUGAAGAUAGCUCUCAUAUUUCCUCUCAGUCUCCUCUUUUCCAGGCUAAACAUAACCAGCUCCUUCAAGC